ACGCCCAUGUGAGCGGCCGCGAGCGCUGGGAGGACGGACCCAGCGGUCGAUGACAGGGCCUGGCGCGGUUCGCUUUUCCUGGGUGACUGUGUUCGUGGGGCUGAGGCCCUCGAGGUGCCCACUUCCAGCUUUCCACCAAUUACUGCACUGUCUUUCCGUUUCCUGCCCCGCUGACGCGUACACCUAUUUCAGACUCAGCGCAGCUCCGCGGGGAGAAAAGUGCGGGGCUCCCUCUCGGCUCCACACCAGACUCCGGAGUAGUUCGAACUGCGCUGGGGUCGCCAAGACGCGCGCUGCCCUUCUCCCAGCACUGCCCUCCCCAGCGUCUUUGACCACUCUUAAUACCCACAAACUUGAUCGGACAAUUUCUGGUGUGUCCAGCCAUGUGUCACGUACUGGGAAUACAAAAUAGAAUGAGGCAAGCUCCCUGACCUCAAAGAUUUCAGAGUUCAGUUGGAGAAAUCGACAGAAUCUGGUACUUUUAAAACUAAACAUGAUGAAUGAAUGUGGUGAGAACAGCGGCAGAAAAUGGCACUGAAUUCCAUAGAAAUAUCUGGAAAGGUCAUUUCAAAAGGGGAGAAAAGGUGCGUAGUUUAGCCAGCUUUCAGGGCAAGGGAGUGAGGGGCGCUGAAGCUCCUUGAAGUUGAAACCCAGGCUAGAAUGAGUAAGAAUGCGCCAGUCAGGGUGCUUGUUUGAGCGGGUUGGUUGCAGGGCGGGCAGUUACGAGGGAUAAUAAAGACAAAAGCGUGAAACAGAA
rnacentral:lncRNA from 10 species